AAGGGAUUUCGUACGUAGAAACUUCUGAACUUUAGGGGCUGGUUUUGAUUCCUAGAAGGGGUAAAUAUCUAAUGGGUCAUGUAUUUUUGCAUAAUCUUUAAAGGUUAAGAGCAUCAUAUAAAGAUAUCAAAAGUAGUAGAAUAAGGAAUCAAGGACCUUCAUAAAUUAUUAUGAAGAUACGCUCUGUGAAUAUAAUUACCAUGUUAAAACUACCUUCAUUAUUAUGAAGAUAGUUGCUCUGUGCAUAUAAUUACCAUAUUAAAACUACAUUCUGCGACAAAAGUUAUGAUGUAGUAUAUCUGUCUUAAAUAGAUGGCGGAAAAUUUGUGCUUAUUUAUCAGGUUUCAAACUUCAUGAUGGACGUUGACUGGUUUAUAUUAUCUCUCCUUCCCCUAUCCUAUGCACCAAAUCUGAAUAUUUUGUGUUCAUAUGGGAAUUUCAAAUCUCUGAUUAACUGGUUUUUGAAGGGAACGUUAAAUCAAUUUAAGUUACCAAAAAGAUGAAAACACCUGGCUUUUAGAAAAAGUUAAUCAAUUUCAACUAAAGAAAUUGUAGUAGGACGAUCACCGUGUCACUUUCAAAAAAUUCAUGUAAUUCAACUACCCCAUCCCUUAGUAUAACUUCCUUAAUGCCGGCCAACAAGAAACUUGACUAUCUAAACUUCUUCCAUUCUUUACUUGUAUCCUUUCAAAUAUGAGUAGAGUGUUUCAACACCCUUUUUGCUUCCAUUUCUUAAUUUCUUCAUCCUUCAUCUUCCUUCUUCACAAGUCUGCUUCACUGCCUUCAAAUGUAUCGGAUCAUUAUGCUUUGCUUUCUCUUAAAACUGGUUUAGCUUCUGAUCCCCUUCGAGUAACGUCUUCAUGGAACGAGUCGGGUCAUUUCUGCAACUGGUUUGGAGUAACUUGCAGCAGUAGACACCAAAGAGUAAUUAGAAUUGACUUGCAAUCAAGUAGAAUUGUGGUUCACUAUCACCCUUUGUGGGAAACCUUAGUUUUCCUAGAGAACUUGUGCUUUCCAAUAAUACUUUUACUGGAAAAAUCCCACAAGAGAUAGGUAAGUUGAGAAGACUCCAAGUUUUAGCCCUCUACAACAACUCAUUUUCUGGUGACAUACCAAGAAACAUUUCAAAGUGUUUGGAUCUGACUGAGCUUGGUUUGGGUGGGAAUAAUCUGUUUGGUUCAAUCCCAACAGAGUUUGAAUACUUGUCAAAGCUUCAGCUGUUUUAUGUUUAUCUGAAUGGCUUGACAGGAACUACUAUCUAGGAAACUUUUCUUCAGUUACAGUGAUUUCUACAGCUGGAAAUAGAUUAAGUGGAGAGAUUCCAAGUACACUUGGUAGGCUCCAAAACUUGAAGAUUCUGGCUAUUGGCUUGAAUAAGCUAUCUGGUGUCAUCCCUGGUGUGAUCUUCAAUUUAUCAUCAUUGCUUGAAAUUGACUUACCGGAGAAUCAACUCCAAGGGAAUAUACCAUGGGAUGUAUUUCUUACCCUUCCAAGACUGCGAAGACUUAACGUUGGAAGGAAUCAGCUAACGGGACAAGUCCCUGCUUCAGUAUCAAACGACACAUAUCUUGUGGAAUUUGGACUGAAUCGUAACAAUUUUCUUGGCAAGAUACCAACUUUUGGAGCUCUGACGAAUCUGCAAUGGAUUGCACUGAAUGGUAAUCAACUUGGAUAUGAGAGAGAUGAUGAUUUGAGUUUCAUUCCCUCAUUGAGGAAUUGCACUCAGUUACAAGUUCUGCAUAUUAGUGAGAACGACCUUCGAGGAGUUUUUCCUAGAUCUUUAGCCAACAUAACUAAGCUUAGGCGAUUUACUCUGGGAGGAAACUUAAUAUCUGGAGAUAUCCCUAGUGAAAUAGGGGUUCUGUCCCAUUUAGAGACACUUUACAAUUGGUCAAACCAACUUAGUGGAAGUAUUCCUGAUUCUAUUGGGAAACUUCAGAGAUUAAACAUAUUAUCCCUCUUCUCUAACAGAUUAUCAGGGAAUAUACCUUCUUCUAUGGGGAAUUUAACUAUGCUGACUCAACUCUAUCUGGGAGAAAAUGACUAGCAAGGUCCUCUACCCUCCAGUCUUGGAAAUUGCAGGUCUUUGUUGAUACUAAAUGUUUCUCAGAACAAUCUCAGUGGUCAUAUACCACAAGAAAUAUUUGGUAUUUCUUCAUUAUCAAUAUUACUGGAUCGAUCAUACAACCACUUGUCAGGUUCUCUUCCUUUUGACAUACAUGGCUUGCAAAAUUUGGUCUCGAUGAACCUCUCAAACAAUGAAUUAUCUGGUGAGAUUCCAAACAGCAUCUCUACUUUGUCCAGUUUGACAGAGCUUGACAUGUCUAAUAACUUGUUUGAAGGAUUUGUUUCUCGAUUUUUAAGUUCUUUGAGAAGUCUAGAAAGUAUAGAUCUUUCUCGUAACAACUUCACAGGUGAGAUCAAAGUCCUUGGAAAGCUUGCUUUUCUGAGACACGUCAACUUAUCUUUCAAUAAUUUCAAAGGAGAGGUACCAAAAGAUGGAACUUUUACAAAUGCAAGCGAGGUUUCGAUUGUUGGAAACAGUGAGCUUUGUGGGGGUGCUCCAGAGUUACUUUUACCAGGGUGCAUGAAUGAAGGUGCAUCAAGAAAGUUCAAGUUUCCACAUGUGCUAAAAUUGAUCAUACCAAUAUCUGUUGGGACGUUAGCGCUUGCAGGGGCUGUGCUUUUCGUACUGAUCUACAGUCGUAGGCCCCAAAUAGAAUUGAAUGUAUCCGAUAGUUUGACGAGGGACGGACUCGAGAAAGUUUCUUACAGUACUCUCUACAAGGCAACUGAUGGAUUCUCUGCAGAAAACAUAAUUGGUUCGGGACAAUUUAGCUCUGUAUAUAAAGGAAAACUUGAUGAAAAUGAAACAGUUGUUGCUGUGAAGGUAUUCAAGCUUCAUAUUCAGGAAGCUUCGAAAAGUUUCAAGGCUGAGUGUGAAGCACUGAGGCAUAAUAGGCACAGAAAUAUGGUUAAGAUUCUGACCAUCUGUUCUAGCAUUGAUUUUGUGGGCAAUGAUUUCAAGGCUAUUGUCUACAGCUAGAUGGUCAAUGGAAGUCUUGAAGACUGGUUGCAUCAGCACCUGGAGGAGAGGCACUUAACUUUGCUUCAGAGGCUGAAUAUUGCGAUUGAUGUGGCUUCUGCGCUGGAGUAUCUUCAUUUCAAUUGCGGAAGACCUCUAGUUCAUUGUGAUCUGAAACCAAGUAAUAUUCUGUUAGAUGAUGACUUAGUUGCUCAUGUUGGUGAUUUUGGGUUGGCAACGAUUCUUUCAGAUACAUCUUCAACAUUCUCUAGCAGAGGAAUAAAGGGAACUAUUGGAUAUGCUGCACCAGAAUAUGGUAUGGUUGUGAGUUGUCAACACAAGGUGAUGUAUACAGCUAUGGAAUGCUUUUAUUGGAGAUAUUUACUGGAAAGAGUCCAACAGAUGAUGUUUUGAACGAUGAUCUAAACCUCCAUAAUUAUGUGAGGAAUGCUAUACCUGAACGCGUUAUAGAAAUUUCUGAUCCUGCUCUUUUUCGCGAUCAGGAAGCAAUUCUCUGCAAUCAAGGAGUUAAGGAAAUAAGCGGCUCUCAAGCACCUUUUGAGCCUAGUAAGGAUAGAAUUACGGAGCAUUUCCAUAUUUCGAAUUGGAAUUGCUUGUUCGGUGGAAUCAGCAAGAGAGAGGAUGGAUAUGCGUGAUGUCACCAGUGAACUGCAUGUCAUCAGAUGCUUUUCCGGUAAGUGCCACUGAUGUAAAUUAAGAAGAAGGUUAAAGAGUUGCACAAGAAAUUAUUGUAAAGUUCAUAUGUAGAAAAUUCAUCUAGACUUUGUGGUUCAAUUCUAUUAAGAUUAUUACCAAUGUUCAGUUCUACUAGCUACUUGCAGUUCCUUCAGUCGGAUGCCUACUCCAAUGUUCAUAUUACAAUAAAUUUCCAUUUGUAACUAGUAGUCGUAGAGCUAGAUUGUUUUUUUCUG